GGGGGCGAUCUGGCUUCGACGGGUGGUCGAAGGUGGGCGCUGCGUGCCGAGAUGGUCGUGCUCUCGUUAAUCAGACGGCACUGUUGGUAACUUUUAGAUGCCGACGAUAACUACGCACUCGCUGCCUAGCUGAAACUAGGUUAGCGACUCUCGUCCGUGACGCCUUCUAUCGGGUUGCGGGAGUCAUCAGAAGGCUGGUCACGGGCCGUUUCUCGGCCGCAUCCCGUGACGAGACCCAUGUCGAGAUAGGGUGAAGGUUCUCCAGGACCUCGCGACUGCCGAUCCCGAAUUUGAGCGAGGACUACGCACGUAGACGCGCUGAUUG
rnacentral:tmRNA from 1 species